GUAGAUUAAAACUAAUAUUGGAUUUAGGGGGAAUGGCAAAGAUUAUUGCCACUCUUAAAGACCUUAAAGUUCAAAGGGUGGUGGCACCCAUAACAUUCUCAUUUAAUUCACAGGUCUUUUUUUUUUUUUUUUUUUCAAAAUUAGGUGAAUCCUGGAAGAUAAUAGUGAACUACCUAAAACUUCACCAAUUAGUGGCCCCCACUGCAGCAGCAAUAUCAGAUGUGAUGUCUUUGUUAAAGCAGAUAAACAUAGCCUCAGCCACUCAUUUGCAUUUGCCUACUGAAAGACAUCACAUGACUGCGUCACUCGGAUGAACCAAGAUAGUUGCAUUUGGAGAUAGAGCCUUCAGGAAGCUCCUUCUGUGUGGUCCAACUCUCUUCCGCGCAUAGGACACACACACAUCUUUCAGUGCUGCCCUCAGAGUCCAGCCCAUGCUUGCCAGCCCUCCCUUAAUCCCUGCCUUCCAGCAACCUGCACACUCAGCGCUCCACACAUUCCACAGGGUCAGUACCCAGCUCCCAGGGCUCUGUCAUCUUUGGAAGACCAGACGGUUGUUGCUAGGCAGAAUAUACAGGGCACAACUGUAGCCAACUGUCUAACUCAAGCCUAUUCAUGGUAUUUCUCUGUUUGCAUGGAUUAUGAAUCGAGGAAGCAAUGAUUUUUCAGUUUACCACACAAGCUGUUGUUCCUUGAUUAACUGUUAUGAAAAUGAUAGCUAUGUUCUAUGACUUUAAUUUUACUAAAAUUCUGAGAUGCAAAAUAAUAUUCAGUCUAUAUUAUUUGCAGGAGAAUGAUUAGCUCUGCAGAGUAGUAGGAAGUAACAAAAGAAAUAGAGGGCAUUGGAACUGUCUUAUAUAGCAAGGCACAUGUAUGGAUUGGGGCAGGUUUGUCCUGUGCCAGCUUUUUGUACUACUUAAUCAAGUGGCCUGAAAUCAACUGUGUAUGCCUGUACAAGUUAUGACUUCUGACACAUGGAGGUCACUUGAAAUCAAAUAGAGGUACAAUCAAGUUCUGGUUUUACCUUGUACUAGUGCUGUGAUAUAUGCUUAGUUGCUUUACUUUCCUGAGUUUUAAUUUCUUCAUCUGUAAAAUGGUGGUAAUAACAGUCAAUGUGAAUGUAAACGAGAACAUAUAUGUAAAGGGGCCUCUCAGUUUAUACAACAAAGUCAUUGUUUAGUAAAUGUGAAUACUUGCCCCACCAAUAAAUAUCUGUUACAUGGACUUGAGUGUAUAGUUGAACUUUAUUUCAAUCUUGAAAA
rnacentral:lncRNA from 1 species